rnacentral:rRNA from 1 species
CGCAGCCGCGGUAAUUCCAGCUCCAAUAGCGUAUAUUAAAGUUGUUGCAGUUAAAAAGCUCGUAGUUGAAUUUCGGGGUUUAUCCGUCGGUCGGGCUUUCGGGUCUGUACUGGCGUGAUGGAUUCCUACCUUCUGAAUAACCGGCAUGUCAUUAAUUUGGUGCGCCGGGGAAGCAGGACUGUUACCUUGAAAAAAUUAGAGUGCUUAAAGCAGGCUUAUGCCUGAAUACAUUAGCAUGGAAUAAUGAAAUAGGACGGCAUGGUUCUAUUUUGUUGGUUUCUAGGAUCACCGUAAUGAUUAAUAGGGAUAGUUGGGGGCAUUAGUAUUCAAUUGUCAGAGGUGAAAUUCUUGGAUUUAUUGAAGACUAACUUCUGCGAAAGCAUUUGCCAAGGAUGUUUUCAUUAAUCAAGAACGAAAGUUAGGGGAUCGAAGACGAUCAGAUACCGUCGU